rnacentral:rRNA from 1 species
GAUGAACGCUGGCGGCGUGCCUAAUACAUGCAAGUCGAGCGAACAGACGAGGAGCUUGCUCCUCUGACGUUAGCGGCGGACGGGUGAGUAACACGUGGAUAACCUACCUAUAAGACUGGGAUAACAUCGGAAAACCGGAGCUAAUACCAGAUAAUAUAUUCAACCGCAUGGAUCAAUAGUGAAAGACGGUUUUGCCGUCUCUUAUAGACGGAUCCGCGUCGCAUUAGUUAGUUGGUAAGGUAACGGCUCACCAAGGCAACGGAGCUGAGCUGAACUGAGGGGGUGAUCAGCCACCCUGGGACUUGGAAACGGUGCCAACCCCUAAGGGGGGCAGCCGUGGGGAAAAUUGGACAAUGGGGGGAAGCCUGAACCAGCCAACCCGGGUGGGUGAAGAAGGCCUUCGGGUUGUAAAACCCUUUUGUUUGGAAAGAAAAAAAGGAGGUUAAUACCCUGCUGUUCUGACGGUACCCAAAGAAGAAGCACCGGCUAACUUCGUG